UGGUCGGGUAGGCGCGUCUUCGCGUGACAAUCUGUUUCAGGAAUUUAAUUUGGAAAGUCGGGAGUGGAGCUGGAACGAAUGGAGCAUGCCACUCGUCUCUCUGGCUUUGCUCAUUCGACUUUUCGAAUUUCCGCGGUCGUGGUCGCGAAGUGAUUUCGAGAAAACGAACGUUGCGCUCGAGAUUCUGUGCAUGUUCUUUUUUUUCUUUUUUUCUUUGAUUUGCGAUUAGUGAAUCUCGAGCCUAGAUAUAAGUUUCAGCGGGCAUUGCGCCCGAAGGAGGAAGACCGAAGAGGCCCGACAAACUGUCACGAAGAGGGCUGCAACGAAUGGCUCCUCAUUUUUUGGACCUUUUUUGGGCCCAAAGAAUGGGAAGUCAUUGUUACUAUUUUGUCACUGUGCUCGUUUUAGUAAUAUGUAGUAAUUGUUGUUGUGCUGUCUGGCCGAUUUGCAUGCCGGCCCAUCAUCCAGAUCCAGUCAUCAUGGGCAUCGCGAUUUUUUUAUUAGUGUUGCGAUUGAUUAAUAACGGGUUGAAUUAGUGUUGCGUUAAAAUGAGAAUCGCGUUUGCAUUAGUGUUGCG